GUUUCUCAUUUUCACCCCUUAGUUCGACCCAAUUUGCCAACAGUUAUUUUCUUUGUUUGACUAAUUUUGAAGACUGCCACUUUAUUGUCUUCACUUUGAGCAUCAGCUCUUGGGAAUGAAAUGUAUUGUUGUCAUGUUGACUUUAUUCCUUCUCUAGGUUGGACGUCAGGGCUUGAACUUUAAUCUGGAGGCGUGCGACGGCUUCUAGCUCCUUCUCUUUGGUGGUUAUUUUGGACAAUUGACACAGAGUUCGAGUAAAAGUAGCAUUGGACUGGAAUAUGAAAUAUUUUAUUCAGAAUUAAAUGGAGUAGAAAGAUAUAUAAGAUAAGUAUUAUGUGUGGUUUCCCUUCCACGACCCUAAUGCAUUGCAUUGGUGCAAAUUAGUUGUUGAGGAGUGAGAUCGUCGAAUUUGUUGUCAUCAUUAGGGAGGGCGAAGUUUUCAAAGAGUUCGAAUGUAU
rnacentral:lncRNA from 1 species